AUCAUGGCUCAGGAUGAACGCUAGCUACAGGCUUAACACAUGCAAGUCGAGGGGGAAACCGAUAUUGGAAGCUUGCUUCCGAUAGGCGUCGACCGGCGCACGGGUGAGUAACGCGUAUCCAACCUGCCCAUCACUUGGGGAUAACCUUGCGAAAGUAAGACUAAUACCCAAUGACGUCUCUAGAAGGCAUCUGAAGGAGAUUAAAGAUUUAUCGGUGAUGGAUGGGGAUGCGUCUGAUUAGCUUGUUGGCGGGGUAACGGCCCACCAAGGCGACGAUCAGUAGGGGUUCUGAGAGGAAGGUCCCCCACAUUGGAACUGAGACACGGUCCAAACUCCUACGGGAGGCAGCAGUGAGGAAUAUUGGUCAAUGGGCGAGAGCCUGAACCAGCCAAGUAGCGUGCAGGAUGACGGCCCUAUGGGUUGUAAACUGCUUUUAUAAGGGAAUAAGGUGGGAGUCGUGACUCUUUUUGCAUGUACCUUAUGAAUAAGGACCGGCUAAUUCCGUG
rnacentral:rRNA from 1 species